UCCAUAGUAACAGUCCUAAAUUACAACAAACACGUAGAUUAUACUCAAAGAUUAUGGUGAAAAAUCAAUCAAAACAACAUCAAUAAUCAGUAAAUCUAAACAAUCAAGUACUAAAUAUCAACAAUCUUGAAGAAAAUAAUUAAAUUAUAACCUAAUUUAAGAGACUAAAAGUUCUCCAUAGUGACAGUCCUAAAUUACAACAAACACGUAGAUUAUACUCAAAGAUUAUGGUGAAAAAUCAAUCAAAACAACAUCAAUAAUCAGUAAAUCUAAACAAUCAAGUACUAAAUAUCAACAAUCUUGAAGAAAAUAAUUAAAUUAUAACCUAAUUUAAGAGACUAAAAGUUCUCCAUAGUGACAGUCCUAAAUUACAACAAACACGUAGAUUAUACUCAAAGAUUAUGGUGAAAAAUCAAUCAAAACAACAUCAAUAAUCAGUAAAUCUAAACAAUCAAGUACUGAAUAUAAUCUUGAAGAAAAUAAUCAAAUUAUAACCUAAUUUAAGAGACUAAAAGUUCUCCAUAGUGACAGUCCUAAAUUACAACAAACACG
rnacentral:lncRNA from 1 species